AACAGCAGUCGAUGAGCUGUC
rnacentral:miRNA from 1 species